rnacentral:rRNA from 1 species
CCCGGCGAGGGGAGUGAAAAAGAACCUGAAACCGUGUACGUACAAGCAGUGGGAGCACGCUUCGGCGUGUGACUGCGUACCUUUUGUAUAAUGGGUCAGCGACUUAUAUUCUGUAGCAAGGUUAACCGAAUAGGGGAGCCGAAGGGAAACCGAGUCUUAACUGGGCGUUAAGUUGCAGGGUAUAGACCCGAAACCCGGUGAUCUAGCCAUGGGCAGGUUGAAGGUUGGGUAACACUAACUGGAGGACCGAACCGACUAAUGUUGAAAAAUUAGCGGAUGACUUGUGGCUGGGGGUGAAAGGCCAAUCAAACCGGGAGAUAGCUGGUUCUCCCCGAAAGCUAUUUAGGUAGCGCCUCGUGAAUUCAUCUCCGGGGGUAGAGCACUGUUUCGGCAAGGGGGUCAUCCCGACUUACCAACCCGAUGCAAACUGCGAAUACCGGAGAAUGUUAUCACGGGAGACACACGGCGGGUGCUAACGUCCGUCGUGAAGAGGGAAACAACCCAGACCGCCAGCUAAGGUCCCAAAGUCAUGGUUAAGUGGGAAACGAUGUGGGAAGGCCCAGACAGCCAGGAUGUUGGCUUAGAAGCAGCCAUCAUUUAAAGAAAGCGUAAUAGCUCACUGGUCGAGUCGGCCUGCGCGGAAGAUGUAACGGGGCUAAACCAUGCACCGAAGCUGCGGCAGCGACGCUUAUGCGUUGUUGGGUAGGGGAGCGUUCUGUAAGCCUGUGAAGGUGUGCUGUGAGGCAUGCUGGAGGUAUCAGAAGUGCGAAUGCUGACAUAAGUAACGAUAAAGCGGGUGAAAAGCCCGCUCGCCGGAAGACCAAGGGUUCCUGUCCAACGUUAAUCGGGGCAGGGUGAGUCGACCCCUAAGGCGAGGCCGAAAGGCGUAGUCGAUGGGAAACAGGUUAAUAUUCCUGUACUUGGUGUUACUGCGAAGGGGGGACGGAGAAGGCUAUGUUGGCCGGGCGACGGUUGUCCCGGUUUAAGCGUGUAGGCUGGUUUUCCAGGCAAAUCCGGAAAAUCAAGGCUGAGGCGUGAUGACGAGGCACUACGGUGCUGAAGCAACAAAUGCCCUGCUUCCAGGAAAAGCCUCUAAGCAUCAGGUAACAUCAAAUCGUACCCCAAACCGACACAGGUGGUCAGGUAGAGAAUACCAAGGCGCUUGAGAGAACUCGGGUGAAGGAACUAGGCAAAAUGGUGCCGUAACUUCGGGAGAAGGCACGC